CAGCAGCCGCGGUAAUACGUAGGGUGCAAGCGUUAAUCGGAAUUACUGGGCGUAAAGCGCACGUAGGCGGCUUGGUAAGUUAGAGGUGAAAGCCUGGAGCUCAACUCCAGAAUUGCCUUUAAGACUGCCGAGCUAGCAGGUGAGAGAGGUAAGUGGAAUUCCGAGUGUAGAGGUGAAAUUCGUAGAUAUUCGGAAGAACACCAGUGGCGAAGGCGGCUUACUGGCUCAUACUGGACGCUGAGGUGCGAAAGCGUGGGGAGCAAACAGGAUUAGAUACCCCGGUAGUCCCUGUCUCUUAUAC
rnacentral:rRNA from 1 species